rnacentral:rRNA from 1 species
GGAAUGUAUAUAUACAUUGGUAGAGGAGCAUUCUUAAAGGGACGAAGCAGUACCGGAAGGAGCUGUGGACUUUUAAGAAGAGAGAAUGCCGGAAUGAGUAGCGAGAUAGAGGUGGGAAUCCUCUAGGCCGAAUAUCUAAGGUUUCCAGGGUAAAGCUGAUCUGCCCUGGGUAAGUCGGGGCCUAAGGCGAGGCUGAGAAGCGUAGCCGAUGGACAACAGGUUGAAAUUCCUGUACUAUAGCAUGUCAGAACUGUGGGGACACAGAAGGAAAGGGAGAGCCGGGAAUGAAGAUACCGGUGCAAGCGAGGUAGGAGUUAAGCUGGAAAAACCGUUUAACAAUCCGAAGACGUGAUGCGGACCGAAAAUAAGUAGGGAAGCUCCUGAGCCAGCUGUCGAGAAAAGCCGCUAUUGUGCAUGUUAUACCCGUACCGUAAACCGACACAGGUGGAUGAGGAGAGAAUCCUAAGGCCGGCGGGAGAAGCAUUGUUAAGGAACUCGGCAAAAUGACCCUGUAACUUCGGGAGAAAGGGUGCCUCUGAGAAGAGGCCGCAGAGAAUUGGCCCAAGCAACUGUUUAGCAAAAACACAGGUCUAUGCGAAACCGUAAGGUGAGGUAUAUGGGCUGACGCCUGCCCGGUGCUGGAAGGUUAAGGGGAGAGGUUAGCGCAAGCGAAGCUUUGAACUUAAGCCCCAGUAAACGGCGGCCGUAACUAUAACGGUCCUAAGGUAGCGAAAUUCCUUGUCGGGUAAGUUCCGACCCGCACGAAAGGCGUAAUGAUUUGGGCACUGUCUCAACAAUGCACCCGGUGAAAUUGAAGUACCAGUGAAGAUGCUGGUUACCUGCGCCAGGACGGAAAGACCCCAUGGAGCUUUACUCCAGCUUGGUACUGGGAUUCGGUAUUGCAUGUACAGGAUAGGUGGGAGGCUGAGAAGUGGACGCCAGUUGCCGCGGAGCCGCUGUUGGGAUACCACCCUUGCGAUAUUGGAUUUCUAACCAGUCACCGUGAUCCGGUGAUGGGACAAUGCCAGGCGGGGAGUUUGACUGGGGCGGUCGCCUCCGAAAGGGUAUCGGAGGCGCCCAAAGGUUCCCUCAGGAUGGUUGGAAACCAUCCGAAGAGUGCAAGGGCAGAAGGGAGCUUGACUGCGACACCGACGGGUGGAGCAGGUACGAAAGUAGGGCUUAGUGAUCCGGUGGUAUUAAGUGGGAAUGCCAUCGCUCAACGGAUAAAAGCUACCCUGGAUAACAGGCUUAUCACUCCCAAGAGUUCACAUCGACGGAGUGGUUUGGCACCUCGAUGUCGGCUCAUCGCAUCCUGGGGCUGAAGUAGGUCCCAAGGGUUGGGCUGUUCGCCCAUUAAAGCGGUACGCGAGCUGGGUUCAGAACGUCGUGAGACAGUUCGGUCCCUAUCCGGCGCGGGCGUAAGAUAUCUGAGAGGAGCUGUCCUUAGUACGAGAGGACCGGGAUGGACUGACCUCUGGUGUACCGGUUGCAUAUCAGAUGCAUAGCCGGGUAGCCAAGUCGGGAAGGGAUAAACGCUGAAGGCAUCUAAGCGUGAAGCCCCCCUCGAGAUGAGAUAUCUCAUAGCAGAAGCUAGUAAGACCCCUUGAAGACGACGAGGUAGAUAGGGCAGAGGUGGAAGCACAGUAAUGUGUGGAGCUGACUGUUACUAAUCGGUCGAGGGCUUAUCC